CCUAAUUGGGCUUCUACACAUUUGCAUAAGCAUGAGACUUCAUGAUUAAUGCAUAAGACCCAGCAUGGAACCCAGUAUCAAUUCGUCUAUGGAGGCUAUUCCCCCACUGAAAACAAUCAUCGCACCUAAGAUACAAUCCAUCAUAUUUGUAGGUAUGAUUGCAUUGUAGAAUACAAGACUACUUGAAAUGCCAUGAUAAAACCUUUACAGAAUUGUGAGCCUCUUCUGUGUAAGAAAGAAGUUUUAAGAGGACCACAGUACUGCUGUCUUGGGGCCAUCACUGAUGCCUGAAAAGGUUUGUUUGCAAAAUGAAGUGUCAAGGCCAUAGACACUUUUUUUCCCUCCUGUUUGGCUCAAGCACUGAAUCUAAAGGGGGAGAAUUCUAAAAUAAACAACCAUGACUACUUUUGGGUUACAAAAUAAGUAAUAGCUCUCCCCUUGCACCUUCAAACACUGAACAAGGGAGAAAAGACUUCUAGAAUAAAAACUCUACAAAGGUGAGGGCAGACUCAGUCAGCAACGCCAGAAGGUAUUGAACUUCAAGAAUGAAAUCAAUUCUAGCUGCGAUAGACUGCCACACAAUUAAGGAGUGUGAGCAACUCUCAGUAUAAGCCCUAGUGUGCAAAAUGGUGGUGCCCGCAAUUUCUCUGCUGGCUGGGUUGCUUAAUUGGGCAGGAAUCCCUUCCCCAUGGGAGGACCUGGGAACUUGGAGUUCUCCAACAGAUCUCAGUGUGCUGUGGGACUAAAUACAAAAGACCCUUUGAGAGAACUCUUUCUAACAGCACCUGAGAUAGGGUUUUGGGUUUUUUUUUAAUUGUUAAAAAUUGACAUAUCAUGAUGGGAAAAAAUUACCAUUUGGAAUUCCAUGAAAUUAAGAGGAACAGUCUGACAUCACCAUUUCCCAUGCAUCUGCCCAGAGGUGACCUCUUGAAUGAGGAACUUGGAUCCUCAAGUCCUAGAUGCUUUGAAGCUUUGAAAUCCAAGCUUCUAGCCCCACGUGGUUGCCAAAGCUUUGCCACUCAUUUGUUGCUUGGUAAGAACUCUCCCCAGAUUCUUAACCGCACACCUAGCACCAAGAAUCAGCUGAUUUCCAGAAGGGAUAUGCAAAGUAGAUGAUACUGCCUUCCUGGUUUCUGUAAUCAUGGCCUCUCAAAUACCGACUGCCUCUGUCUCUAAUGCCUUCAAACUGUUGCUUAUUAUAUCUUAUCUGAUUUCCUCAUUAU
rnacentral:lncRNA from 1 species